rnacentral:tRNA from 1 species
GGCUCUAUAGUAUACUGUUUAUUACGUCCCCAUUAAGUGCGGAAAGUGUGUCGAGGGGCACUAGAGUCA